UACGGAGGAUCCGAGCGUUGUCCGGAAUUAUUGGGCGUAAAGGGUUCGCAGGCGGCCUUGUAAGUCAGAUGUGAAAGACAGCGGCUUAACCGUUGUAAGCAUUUGAAACUGCAGGGCUUGAGUACAGGAGAGGAAAGCGGAAUUCCUAGUGUAGCGGUGAAAUGCGUAGAUAUUAGGAGGAACACCAGUGGCGAAGGCGGCUUUCUGGACUGAUACUGACGCUGAGGAACGAAAGCGUGGGGAGCAAACAGGAUUAGAUACCCCGGUAGUCCCU
rnacentral:rRNA from 1 species